UAGAAGCAGCUGCUCACCUGGUAAAGCUGCUGAACUCACCUGCUCAGGGGGUGAUGAGUUCAGGUUGGUGGGAGGAGCCAGUCGCUGUGCAGGAAGUCUGGAGCUGAAAUAUCUUGGUGAACAGAGACCUGUGGAGAAUGAUGGCUUCACCAUGAAGACAGCAGCUCUCAUCUGUGAACAGCUGAAAUGUGACUCUGCUGUUUCUUUCGAAACAACAGAUGUUUCAGAGCAAUUUAUGUGGUUUAUCCACCCAGGAUGUUUUCAAUCUCCAUCUGAUCCAUGGAACUGUCUGGAGUCAUGGAGCUCCUCUCACACCCUGAAACUCACCUGCUCAGAUCCAACAAAUGAGAUCAUCACAGCGGAGGUCCUGCUGCCGUUUCUCGCGCUGAUGUUUCUCCUGAUGCUGGGCAUGUGGCUGUACUGUAAGGUCAGCAGGGGGCAGACCGACAGACCACAAGACCAGGGGAACAUUGAGCUGACUGUGGAGGGAUGAAGUCGAUCCACUGUGGAAGACAAGAUGUUUUUUUAUGAGCUUUUUCCAGAAAUGAUGAAUCGGAUCUUGUUCCCACAGACAGUGGAACAAGGUUCCUUUUCCUUUUGUGGACUGUGGUGAAAAAACAGAGCAUUCUUUUGUCGUACACUGGACCAUGAUGGAUGUCCUUUUUAAUCUAUCUUUUAACCCUAUUCACUCCUUUUUCAUUUGUUUUUUUAGUAAUAUCAUGUAUACUCAUUUAAUCAUAUAUUAUCAUCUGCUCCCCCUCAUGAUGUUUGACUGUGUUUAACUGAUAAGAUAUAUUUUUGAUUGUAAUCCAACUUAUUAGCUUUUGCAAAAUGUUUGUUUUUUCUACACAAAGGUGAGGCAGGAAGUGGUUUGCAGCAGGUGUUGAACCGUAUGGAACCUUACCAGUUUGUAUUUCUUCCUGAGUGGUUCGAUCUGAGCCUGAAGAACUCUCGUGCGGAUCUCACGUAGACUGCAUGUGUCACGGAGUAAUUCAUAAUUCCACUUGUCGUCACUUUUGGUUUGUACGAGUCGCGCGUUGUGACGACUGACCAGCAUUUUCAUUCAUUGCUGCUGCAGGUAAAUAAGUAUAUAUCGUUCAUGUAUGUUGGCCCAUCAGUUUGAGGCUGGAGGCGUUUGAGGGGAUUGUGUUUGUUACCUGACUGUAAGCAAAUGUGAUGACUGACCAGCAUUUUCAUUCAUUGCUGUUGCAGGAAGCAAUAAACGGCCGUCGUGGGCCGAAAUUUCUAC